UACAGAGGUCCCAAGCGUUGUUCGGAUUCACUGGGCGUAAAGGGUGCGUAGGCGGUCGGGUAAGUCUGAUGUGAAAUCUCACAGCUUAACUGUGAAACUGCAUUGGAUACUAUCCGGCUAGAGGAAUGGAGGGGAGACUGGAAUACUGGUGUAGCAGUGAAAUGCGUAGAUAUCAAGUGGAACACCAGUGGCGAAGGCGAGUCUCUGGACAUUUCCUGACGCUGAGGCACGAAAGCCAGGGGAGCAAACGGG
rnacentral:rRNA from 1 species